GGAUUGAACGCUGGCGGCAUGCCUAACACAUGCAAGUCGAACGGGAGUAGCAAUACUCUAGUGGCGGACGGGUGAGGAAUACGUAGGAAUUUGCCCUUAAGUGGGGGAUAACCCGGGGAAACCCGGAUUAAUACCGCAUGACCUCGAAAGAGCAAAGUGGGGGAUCGCAAGACCUCACGCUUUUGGAGAAGCCUACGUCGGAUUAGCUAGUUGGUGAGGUAAUGGCUCACCAAGGCGACGAUCCGUAACUGGUCUGAGAGGAUGAUCAGUCACACCGGAACUGAGACACGGUCCGGACUCCUACGGGAGCAGCAGUGGGGAAUCUUGCGCAAGU
rnacentral:rRNA from 1 species